rnacentral:tRNA from 1 species
GAGCCUGUAGCCUAGUCUGGAAGGGCGACAGCCUUCUAAGCUGUAGGUCGAGGGUUCAAAUCCCUCCAGGCUCG